rnacentral:sRNA from 1 species
UUUCAGCCCUAAUGGAAGUGUCAUACUUUUUGUUUUUUCACAAAAAAAUACAACGACAAGCAAGAAAUAGC